rnacentral:rRNA from 1 species
UACGGGGGGGGCAAGCGUUGUUCGGAAUUACUGGGCGUAAAGGGCCCGUAGGCGGCCAACUAAGUCAGACGUGAAAUCCCUCGGCUUAACCGGGGAACUGCGUCUGAUACUGGAUGGCUUGAAUCCGGGAGAGGGAUGCGGAAUUCCAGGUGUAGCGGUGAAAUGCGUAGAUAUCUGGAGGAACACCGGUGGCGAAGGCGACAUCCUGGACCGGAAUUGACGCUGAGUGAGCGAAAGCCAGGGGAGCAAACGGG